AGUUGUACCAGGUGUUACAUUU
rnacentral:miRNA from 1 species